GCGUCCUGCCUCGUGAUCGUCUUCUCACCCUCACGAACGGCAGGCGGAAUGAAGGAAACCCCCGCGAGGACGUGACUCGCGGGGGUUUCCG
rnacentral:ncRNA from 1 species